rnacentral:rRNA from 1 species
AACGAACGCUGGCGGCAUGCCUAACACAUGCAAGUCGAACGAGACCUUCGGGUCUAGUGGCGCACGGGUGCGUAACGCGUGGGAACCUGCCCUUAGGUUCGGAAUAACUCCCCGAAAGGGGUGCUAAUACCGGAUAAUGUCUUCGGACCAAAGAUUUAUCGCCUUUGGAUGGGCCCGCGUUGGAUUAGCUAGUUGGUAGGGUAAAAGCCUACCAAGGCGACGAUCCAUAGCUGGUCUGAGAGGAUGAUCAGCCACACUGGGGCUGAGACACGGCCCAGACUCCUACGGGAGGCAGCAGUGGGGAAUAUUGGACCAUGGGCGAAAGCCUGAUCCAGCCAUGCCGCGUGAGUGAUGAAGGCCUUAGAGUUGUAAAGCUCUUUUACCCGGGAUGAUAAUGACAGUACCGGGAGAAUAAGCUCCGACUAACUCCGUG